rnacentral:lncRNA from 10 species
AGGUUACCUCAGCUCUUCUGAAACCUGCGACUGGAAGGACAUGUUUGCUUCCCCUUCUGUCAUGAUUUCCUGAGGCCUCCACAGCCCUGUGGAACUGUGAGUCAACUAAACCUCUUUCCUUCAUAAAUUACCCACUCUUGGGUGUGUCUUUAUUAGCAGCAUAAGAACAGACUAAUAUAGUAAACUGGUACCAGUAGAGUGGGGUGCUGCUAUAAGGAUACCCAAGAAUGUGGAAGCAACUUUGGAAGUGGUAACAAGCAGGGUUUGGAACAGUUUGGAGGGCUCAGAAGAAGAAAGAAAAACGUAGGAUAUUUUGGAACUUCCUAGAGACUUAGAGGGCUCAGAAGACAGGAAGAUGUGGGAAAGUUUGAAACUUCCUAGAGACUUGUUGAAUGGCUUUGACCAAAAUGCUGAUAGUGAUAUGGACAAUGAAGUCCAGGUAGAGGUGGUCUCAGACAAAGAUGAGGAACUUUUGGGAAAUGGAGCAAAGUUGACUCUUGUUAUGCUUUAGAAAACAGACUGGUGGAAUUUUGCCCCUGCCCUAGAGAUCUGGGGAACCCUGAACUUGAGAGAGAUGGUUUGGCAUUGGAAUCUAUGUUUAAAAAGGAUGCAAAGCAUAAAGUUUUAAAAAAUUGCAAUAGAAAAGAAAAACCCAUUUUCUGAGGAGAAAUUCAAGCAGACUACAGAAAUUUGCUUAAGUAGCAAGGAGUCAAAUGUUACUUGCCAAGACAAUGGAGAAAAUGUCUCCAGGGCAUGUCAGAGGUCUUCAUGGCAGCCCCACCCAUCACAGGCCCAGAGGCCUAGGAGGGAAAAAUGGUUUUGUGGACCAAGCCCAGGGCCUCCUUGCUCUAUGCAGCCUUGGGACAUGGUGCCCUGUGUCCCAGCUGCUUCGUUCCAGCCAUGGUUAAAAGGGGCCAAGGUACAUUUCAGGCCAUUGCUUCAGAGAGUGCAAGUCCCAAGCCUUGGCAGCUUCCAUGUGGUGUUGGACCUAUGGAUGCACAGAAGACAAGAAUUGGGGUUUGGGAACCUCCACUUAGAUUUCAGAGGAUGUAUGGAAACACUUGGAUGUCCAGGCAGAAGUCUAAUGUAGAGGUGGAGCCCUCAUAAAGAACCUCUGCUAGGGCAGUGCAGAAGGGAAAUGUCGGGUUGGAGCCCCCUCAGAGAGUCCCUACUGGGGCACUGCCUGGUGGAGCUGUGAGAAGAGGGCCACUGUCCUCCAGACCUGAGAAAGGCAGAUCCACUGACAGCUUGCACCGUGCACCUGGAAAAGCCACAGACACUCAACACCAGCCUGUGAAAACACCUGGGAGGGAGGCUGUACCCUGUAAAGCCACAGGGGUGGAGCUGCCCAAGGCCAUGGAAGCCCACCUCUUGCAUCAGUGUGACCUAGACAUGAGACACGGAGUCAAAGGAGAUCAUUUCGGAACUUUAAGAUUUGACUGUCUUACUGGAUUUUGGACUUGCAUGGGGCCUGUAGCCCCUUUAUUUUAGCCAAUUUCUCCCAUCUGGAAUGGGUGUAUUUACCCAAUGCCUGUACCCCCACUGUAUCUAGGAGUAACUAACUUGUUUUUGAUUUUACAGGCUUAGGCAGAAGGGACUUACUUUGUCUCGGAUGAGACUUUGGACUUGGACUUUUGAGUUAAUGCUGGAAUGAGUUAAGACUUUGCCAGACUUUUGGAAUGGCAUGAUUAUGUUUUGAAGUAUGAGGGCAUGAGAUUUGGGAAGGGCCAGGGGUGGAAUGAUAAAGUUUUGGCCGUGCCCCACCCAAAUCUUACCUUGAAUUACAGUUCCCCUUAUCCCCAUGUGUCAUGAGAGGGACCUGGUGGGAGGUAAUUGAAUCUUGGAGGUGGUUACAACAUGCUGCUGUUCUUGUGAUACUGAGUGAGUUGUCACGAGAUCUGAUGGUUUUAUAAGGGGCUUUUCCCCAUUUAGCUCAUUCUUCUCUCUCCUGCCACCAUGUGAAGAAGGACAUAUUUGCUUCCCCUUCUGCCAUGACUGUAAGUUUCCUGAGGCCUCCACAGCCCUGCAGAACUGUGAGUCAAUUAAACCUCUUUCCUUUAUAAAUUACCAGUCUCAGGUAUGUCUUCAUUAGCAGGUGAGAACAGACUAAUAGUGUGGUCAGGAUCUGGGUGGAGUUCCUGCAUACAUAUUUGGUAGCUGAAUGCCCCUAGGCCAGCAGCAAUUUAACACUUUUGGGCUUCACUUUAUUUACUCUUUGCAAAAUGGGGAAGAGGGCAAUGAUCUCUAAGGCUCCAUAUAUCUAGAAUGUUAUGAAUUAUUUUUAGCCAAUUCAAUAUUCAUAGCCCCUUUGAGGUAAGUCAAGCUCAAGUAAAAAUUGUUCACGGAGAAAAAAAGAGUAAAGCACAAUGGAAGGAUGAGAGAACAGGGUCCAUACCCAGUAAAUAAGGGGUGUCAAGUACUACCUGACCUCAAGGCAACUCACUGCACACUAGACCAGGCCGUAAUGAAAGUCCAUCAAUCUUUACUGAAAAAAAUUACAGACUUUGGGCCACGUGCAGUGGCUCAUGCUUGUAAUCUCAGCACUUUGGGAGGCUGAGACAGGAGGAUUGCUUGAGAUCAGGAGUUCAAGAGCCUGGGCAACACAGUGAGACCCUGUCUCUAAAAAAAUUUAAAUAAAUAAAAUUAGACAGUUUCAAAAUCAAACCUCUGUGCAACAGGCCAGAGUUUUUGCAUGUUCCACAGGCACAUGAGUAUCCAAUAUGACUUAUAAAAUAGUUUUUAAAGCCACUUUUUUCUAAUAAAGAAAUUCAUAUUUGAUCAGUUUCCUUCUACCUUCUAUAGUUGAGGUCUUUGAAAAUAUACUUCUAUCUUCUUCCUUUCCCAUCAAGCUUACCCAUGUAGACAGGGACAAACUCUAAUUUGUACAUUAACAAAGACAUGAGGCAAGAGUCUAAUCAGGAGAAAAGUCAAAAAGAACUUCCCCCUCCCUUUGAAAUUUUAACUCUUGUCCAAACACUCCCUCUCACCCCAUACUCCUCUCAUAAAAUGUGUUUAUUUAUCUUUGAUUCUCCUCAAAGGUGCCUGGAGAAGCCUGUCAAGUGAGCUGCCACCUUCCAGAUUUAAUCGGUUUUCCUCAGUUGUUCGGCAGUUCUAAAUGCAGAAACCAAAAACUCUUCUGCUCGACUGGGCUUUCUCAAUACAGGCAUUGGCACAGCCCCACACAAUUCCAUCUAAGCAGAACAACCGCAGCAUUAAGUUCCCUCCUAUCACAAGGGCCUAGUGUUACUUGGUUGGGUUGUCAUUCCACCUGUCAGCUGCCACCAGAAGAAAACGAAUUUGCAAAUUUACACAGUUUUCUUAGGAAUGCUCUUUCUUUUUUUUUCUCUUUGGACUCUACAUUCCUGUAGCUCCUAUUCUUCAAGGGCACAGGGGCUUACUUAAACAUAAAAUUUUACAACUUAACUGGAAGGGUGCCCUGCUUGCAAAUGGAAAACUGCCACAGAGCAGACUUAACUGCAGCAAGCAGGUGACAGAGCAAGGAACAGGAUCCAAAAUUAUGAUUUUUUGUGUGCUACUGAAGUAAAAGAAUUUAAGAAGGUUUUACUCAGGGUCAUAGGCUGGGUUGGAAGACUGGGAAAAGGAAAUCAGUAGUAUCUAUAUCUAAUUAUGGUGACAGAAUUUCACAGACAUCUAUAACCUAGGUCAAACGUCAAAGACAUGAACACCUAAGACACUUUCACACAUCCCUGAGCAUCAUGAUUAAAUUCAGAUAGUUGGGGAUCUGUCCCCAGGACCAGUAUCCUAUUCUGUUAGGGGCCUCUAAAUAAUAAGACUUUAUGUGUUCUCUUCCACAACAAAGAGUAGGAAGUGAUUAGCAGCUGGGGAGAACAAAGAGACUUUCCCAAGUUAGGGUUUUUCAACUUCGUUAAACCUAGCAAUUAAAGAAAGGAGGAGUUUUGAACUAUGACAUAAUAUUGAAAAAGAACAGACUGCAUGGUUAAAUAAUAAACAAUGCUGAUGUUUAACAACCUUCUCCAUUGCUGUCUCCAGAACCCCUAGAACAGAGCCUGGUACAUAAUAGGAGCACAGAAAUGCUGUUCUCUCUGCCCAGAACCACCUCCCCAGCAACACCGCCAUGGACACAACUUGUCUCUCAUUGCAUUCAGGUCUCUGCUCAAAGGCUCCCUCUUUAGAUAUGCCUUGCUUGAGCAUAUGCUCUAGAAUUUCCUUAUCCCUCUUUAUUUUCUUCCUAACACUGUGAUAUGGUUUAGCUCUGUAUCCCCACCCAAAUCUCAUCUUGAAUUGUACUCCCAUAAUUCCCAUGUGUUGUGGGAGGGACCUGGUGGGAGAUAAUCUGAAUCCAUUGGGGCAGUUUCCCCCAUACUGUUCUCAUGGUAGUGAAUAAGUCUCACGAGAUCUGAUGGGUUUAUCAGGGGUUUCCACUUUUGCAUCAUCCUCGUUUUUCCUCUUGCCACUGCCAUGUAAGAAGUGCCUUUCAUCUCCCACCAUGGUUCUUAGGCCUCCCGAGCCAUGCAGAACUGUAAGUCCAAUUAAACCUCUUUUUCUACCCAGUCUCAGGUAUGUCUUUAUCAGCAGAGUGAAACUGGAUUAAUAUACACAUAAUGCUACCCAACAUUGUAUGUCUAAUUGCUUACUUUUUAAUUGCCUGGGCAGGUACUAUUUUGUUCACUAUAGUAUUGCCAAUCUCUUAAACAAAAGCUGGCACAUAGUAAGCACUCAAUAAAAGUUAUGAAAAGAAUGAGUGGUUAGAAUGGACUAUAAGCUACAGACUUAUUCUAUUCUAUAUUCAGUCAAACAGCCAAUAAACAAUCACUGGUUAUUCAGGGAAUGUUGGAUACCAUCCAGGAAUAAAGAACCUGUGUUGAUUAAGAGAAAGCCCCUAGAUAAGUAAGUCAGUCAUGAUAACAGUUUAAUAUGAAAAGAGUCACGAGACUGUACAUAAAUGUCUAUGAGAACAAGUAGGAAAGACAUCUGAAUCCGACAGGCAAAGUGAGUAGAGUUCUCCAGGUAAAGCUUCAGUGAGAUGUUCUGCAGAAUGAACAGCACAUGGGAGGAAAUGGAGUAUGCAGCCACGUGAUGAUGCAACAAAGUCAGUAAAGAGACAUGGUGGGAGGUAAGACCAGAAAGAUGCAGGGAACUUAGCAUGAAAGGCCUUGGCACUAAACUAAAUGAAUCCUGGAAUGAUGUGUGUUUGUAUAUCAUUUUAAGAAUGAUUUGCAUUUUAAGAAUAACAUUUUGAUAACUUUGUAGAACAUGAAUUAGAAGAGGUCAGAAUAAAGGAAGAUACGUUUUUCCAGUGGUCUAGACAGAAGCAAUGAAAUGAAGAAAACUCAUCCCUGUAUUCAUUCAUUUCUUCAUCUCUUCAAUGAAGAAUUCUUAGUGUCUCCUUAGGCAAAGUUGUGCAAGGCACUUGGAAUAGGUAAUAGCAGUGGAAAUGGAAAAGAACCUGCUUUAAAGCUGUGAGCAAAUGAGUCUGACUGUUGUGUAUAUGGUUUGGGUGACUAGUUUACUUGGGAGGGAAAUAAU